AUUGAACGCUGGCGGCAUGCCUUACACAUGCAAGUCGAACGGCAGCACGGGUACUUGUACCUGGUGGCGAGUGGCGAACGGGUGAGUAAUACAUCGGAACGUACCUUAUCGUGGGGGAUAACGCAGCGAAAGCUGUGCUAAUACCGCAUACGCCCUUAGGGGGAAAGCGGGGGAUCGCAAGACCUCGCGCGAUUAGAGCGGCCGAUGCCUGAUUAGCUUGUUGGUGGGGUAAAAGCCCACCAAGGCGACGAUCAGUAGCUGGUCUGAGAGGACGAUCAGCCACACUGGGACUGAGACACGGCCCAGACUCCUACGGGAGGCAGCAGUGGGGAAUUUUGGACAAUGGGGGAAACCCUGAUCCAGCAAUGCCGCGUGAGUGAAGAAGGCCUUCGGGUUGUAAAGCUCUUUUGUCAGGGAAGAAACACCGGCUCUAACACAGUCCGGGAAUGACGGUACCUGAAGAAUAAGCACCGGCUAACUACGUGCCAGCAGCCGCGGUAAUACGUAGGGUGCAAGCGUUAAUCGGAAUUACUGGGCGUAAAGCGUGCGCAGGCGGUUAUACAAGACAGGCGUGAAAUCCCCGGGCUUAACCUGGGAAUGGCGCCUGUGACUGUAUAGCUAGAGUGUGUCAGAGGGGGGUAGAAUUCCACGUGUAGCAGUGAAAUGCGUAGAUAUGUGGAGGAAU
rnacentral:rRNA from 1 species